AUUGAACGCUGGCGGCGUGCCUAACACAUGCAAGUCGAGCGAGCGGUGGACGGGUGAGUAAUGUAUGGGGAGUGCCCGAUAGAGGGGGAUAACUACUGUAGGCGGUAGCUCAUACCACAUACUAUCGGAUAACCCAUAUGGGAUGAGCUAGUAGGUGGGGUAAUGGCUCACCUAGGCGACGAUCCCUAGCUGGUCUGAGGGGAUGAUCAGCCACACUGGGACGGAGACACGGCCCAGAUGCCUCCGGAGGCAGCAGCGGGGAAUAUUGCACACUGGGCUCAAGACUGUUGCAGCCAUGGCGCGUGUAUGAAGAAGGCCCGAGGGGUGUAAAGUACUUUCAGUCGGGAGGCGUUACCGACAGAAGAAGCACCGGCUAACUCCGUGCCAGCAGCCGCGGUAAUUC
rnacentral:rRNA from 1 species